UCGAACGCGUUGGCCCAAUUGAUUGAUGGUGCUUGCACCUGAUUGAUUUUGGUCGCCAACGAGUGGCGGACGGGUGAGUAACACGUAGGUAACCUGCCCAGAAGCGGGGGACAACAUUUGGAAACAGAUGCUAAUACCGCAUAACAGCGUUGUUCGCAUGAACAACGCUUAAAAGAUGGCUUCUCGCUAUCACUUCUGGAUGGACCUGCGGUGCAUUAGCUUGUUGGUGGGGUAACGGCCUACCAAGGCGAUGAUGCAUAGCCGAGUUGAGAGACUGAUCGGCCACAAUGGGACUGAGACACGGCCCAUACUCCUACGGGAGGCAGCAGUAGGGAAUCUUCCACAAUGGGCGCAAGCCUGAUGGAGCAACACCGCGUGAGUGAAGAAGGGUUUCGGCUCGUAAAGCUCUGUUGUUAAAGAAGAACACGUAUGAGAGUAACUGUUCAUACGUUGACGGUAUUUAACCAGAAAGUCACGGCUAACUACGUGCCAGCAGCCGCGGUAAUACGUAGGUGGCAAGCGUUAUCCGGAUUUAUUGGGCGUAAAGAGAGUGCAGGCGGUUUUCUAAGUCUGAUGUGAAAGCCUUCGGCUUAACCGGAGAAGUGCAUCGGAAACUGGAUAACUUGAGUGCAGAAGAGGGUAGUGGAACUCCAUGUGUAGCGGUGGAAUGCGUAGAUAUAUGGAAGAACACCAGUGGCGAAGGCGGCUACCUGGUCUGCAACUGACGCUGAGACUCGAAAGCAUGGGUAGCGAACAGGAUUAGAUACCCUGGUAGUCCAUGCCGUAAACGAUGAGUGCUAGGUGUUGGAGGGUUUCCGCCCUUCAGUGCCGGAGCUAACGCAUUAAGCACUCCGCCUGGGGAGUACGACCGCAAGGUUGAAACUCAAAGGAAUUGACGGGGGCCCGCACAAGCGGUGGAGCAUGUGGUUUAAUUCGAAGCUACGCGAAGAACCUUACCAGGUCUUGACAUCUUGCGCCAACCCUAGAGAUAGGGCGUUUCCUUCGGGAACGCAAUGACAGGUGGUGCAUGGUCGUCGUCAGCUCGUGUCGUGAGAUGUUGGGUUAAGUCCCGCAACGAGCGCAACCCUUGUUACUAGUUGCCAGCAUUAAGUUGGGCACUCUAGUGAGACUGCCGGUGACAAACCGGAGGAAGGUGGGGACGACGUCAGAUCAUCAUGCCCCUUAUGACCUGGGCUACACACGUGCUACAAUGGACGGUACAACGAGUCGCGAACUCGCGAGGGCAAGCAAAUCUCUUAAAACCGUUCUCAGUUCGGACUGCAGGCUGCAACUCGCCUGCA
rnacentral:rRNA from 1 species